rnacentral:rRNA from 1 species
UACCACCGGGAUGUUCAUAACCCUUUGUUGUCCGACUCUGUUGCCUCCGGGGCGACCCUGCCUUCGGGCGGGGGCUCCGGGUGGACACUUCAAACUCUUGCGUAACUUUGCAGUCUGAGUAAACUUAAUUAAUAAAUUAAAACUUUUAACAACGGAUCUCUUGGUUCUGGCAUCGAUGAAGAACGCAGCGAAAUGCGAUAAGUAAUGUGAAUUGCAGAAUUCAGUGAAUCAUCGAAUCUUUGAACGCACAUUGCGCCCCCUGGUAUUCCGGGGGGCAUGCCUGUUCGAGCGUCAUUUCACCACUCAAGCCUCGCUUGGUAUUGGGCAUCGCGGUCCGCCGCGUGCCUCAAAUCGACCGGCUGGGUCUUCUGUCCCCUAAGCGUUGUGGAAACUAUUCGCUAAAGGGUGUUCGGGAGGCUACGCCGUAAAACAACCCCAUUUCUAAGGUUGACCUCGGAUCAGGUAGGGAUACCCGCUGAACUUAAGCAUAUCAAUAAGCGGAGGAA